rnacentral:rRNA from 1 species
AUGUUUAGGAGGAUGUUCCAAGGUGGUCAUUCAAGGAAGCAAGGUCCCAGGCUUGCAAUACGUGAUGCUGACGAGGAACCACCAAGAGACGCUCCUGUGAGGCCCUGUGAAUGGCCUUCGGAAAAUUUUAUGAAUCAAGUGAGAAUCAAAGAAGAAUUUAGCGCAUAUUUGAGUAACGCCGAUCUUGAGGACUUUGAAGCUUACAAAUGCCCCCAGUAUCAUGAUCUCACAAGUUCAUUUGUGAGGAGGUUUGAGUUUUCAACUUCGCUAAAUUCUCUUUCAGUCAUGUUUGACCUUUAUGACAAAUCUUAUACCAUGGACUUAGAGGAUUUUACUUCUGCUUGCAAACUUCCAUCUUGGGGUAAUGUCAGGGAUCCCCCUAAAUCCGAAUACAGAGACUUUCUUGCUAGAAUAACUGUGGGGGAAUCUUGA